GAGGAGGAGGCGGAGGAGGAGGAGGACUCCGAUGGGUCGAAGUCGUAGCCGCUCCCCGGGCAGGGAACAUAGGCGGUCCCGGUCCACAUCUCGGGAUCGAGAAAGAAGACGCCGAGAAAGGUCCAGGUCCAGGGAUAGAGAUCGCAGAAGGAGCCGCUCAAGAUCUCCACACCGAAGACGCUCCAGGUCUCCAAGGCAACAUAGAUCCACAUCUCCCUCCCCUUCUCGACUGAAAGAAAGAAGAGAUGAGGAAAAGAAAGAAACUAAAGAAAUAAAGAACAAAGAACGUCAGAUCACUGAGGAAGAUCUGGAGGGUAAAACGGAGGAAGAAAUAGAAAUGAUGAAAUUAAUGGGAUUUGCCUCUUUUGACUCCACAAAAGGAAAGAAGGUAGAUGGCUCUGUAAAUGCCUAUGCCAUCAACGUGUCUCAGAAGAGCAAAUACAGGCAGUACAUGAAUCGAAAAGGCGGAUUCAACAGACCUUUGGAUUUUAUUGCAUGAGACUUGAGGUGUUGGAUAGAGGAUUCCCCCCCUCAUCUGGGUCAGAGAGUAUUUUAUAUUUUGUAUUUAAUACACAUCAAAACAGGAUCUUGAUUCUUCCUUCUUAUAAAGUAAGAAAGUCUUAUUUAUGACA